AAACUAACAAGGAUUUCCAUGGUAGUGGCGAACGACCUGGAAUUAGCCCAGCACCGAAUCCUGUACCGCAAGGUAUUGGGAGUUGUGGUGUAAAGGUUGUGUCUUUAGUUGUUGGACGCGCUUCAAAUUCACUUGAUUGUGAUAUUGUCCAGAGAGGGUGUCAGACCCGUUGAGGCGUGUUCGUGCGACUAUUGAUGCUUCCUAUGAGUCGGAUUGUUUGAGAAUGCAGUCCAAAUUCGGUGGUAAACUCCAUCUAAGGCUAAAUACUUGUACGAGUCCGAUAGCAAACAAGUACCGUGAGGGAAAGUUGAAAAGAACUUUGAAGAGAGAGUUAAAUAGUACGUGAAAUCGCUUAGAGGUAAACGAGUGGAGCCGAAAAGGUUGGGCGGGAUUCAGUUGGGCGUGCGAUGGCAAUCGGUUGGGUAAAAACCUCAUCUGGCAUUACUCGAUCGGUUGUUGUUGUGCGCUCGAUGCACUUUCUGUUCGACUGGACUGUGACCGAUAGUGUCGUUCGUUAGUAGUGGCGAGAAGGUGAUCAUUUGUUCGUCAUUUGGUUUUAUAGCUCGUCACUCGAAUGAAUGUGGUGUAUCGGUGAAUUGCAAUCGGUCAAUGUUGGCGGUCGGUUGUGUGCGCCGUUCGAUGGUAGGCUAUAUAUAGACUGCUGUUGGGCGGUGUGCGUGAUCGGUCGUCGAUGGAUCGGUUUAAAGUCGCAGUAAUAUGUAGGCAAUCUACUCGUCCCGUCUUGAAACACGGACCAAGGAGUUUUAUAUGAUCGCGAGUCAAAGGGCUUUACGAAACCCCAGGGCGCAAUUAAUGUAAAGGUCUGCUUAGGCAGGCUGUGAUGUGACCGGGAAUAAUUUCCUGUGCAAUAUCGACCCGUCUGAAGGUGUUCGCAUCUGGGCGGAGUUUGAGCGAUCAUGUAGAGACCCGAAAGAUGGUGAACUAUGCUUGUGCAGGUUGAAGUCAGAGGAAACUCUGAUGGAGGACCGCCGCGGUUCUGACGUGCAAAUCGAUCGUCGGACAUGAGUAUAGGGGCGAAAGACUAAUCGAACCAUCUAGUAGCUGGUUCCCUCCGAAGUUUCCCUCAGGAUAGCUGGCAUUUGUUGUCGUAGUUUUACCUGGUAAAGCGAAUGAUUAGAAGUAUUGGGGGCGAAAUGCCUUCAACUUAUUCUCAAACUUUAAAUGGGUUCGAUGUGUGACUCGCUUCAUUGGAGUUGCACGUUGAAUACGAGUGCCUAGUGGGCCAUUUUUGGUAAGCAGAACUGGCGAUGUGGGAUGAACCAAACAUUCGGUUAAGGUGCCUAACACCACGCUCAUGAGAUCCCACAAAAGGUGUUGGUUGAUAAAGACAGCAGGACGGUGGCCAUGGAAGUCGGCAUCCGCUAAGGAGUGUGUAACAACUCACCUGCCGAAUCAACCAGCCCUGAAAAUGGAUGGCGCUGUAGCGUGGGACCUAUACCGGAUCGGUACUGCAAGUUGUCUAGCAUGCUGGACGGCAAGUAAGCGGUACCGUGUAGGAGGGUGCCGUGGUUGCGACCGAACUGGCGUGAGUCAGAGUGGAGCGGCCACCGGGUACAGAUCUUGGUAGUAGUAGCAA
rnacentral:rRNA from 1 species